GAUGAACGCUAGCGGCAGGCCUAACACAUGCAAGUCGAACGGUAACAUAAAGUGCUUGCACUUUGAUGACGAGUGGCGCACGGGUGCGUAACGCGUAUACAAUCUACCUUUUACAGGGGGAUAGCCUUUAGAAAUGAAGAUUAAUACCCCAUAGUAUAUGAUGUGGCAUCACAAUAAUAUUAAAGAUUCGUCGGUAAAAGAUGAGUAUGCGUUCUAUUAGCUAGAUGGUUUGGUAACGGCAGACCAUGGCAACGAUAGAUAGGGGCCCUGAGAGGGGGAUCCCCCACACUGGUACUGAGACACGGACCAGACUCCUACGGGAGGCAGCAGUGAGGAAUAUUGGACAAUGGAGGCAACUCUGAUCCAGCCAUGCCGCGUGCAGGAAGAC
rnacentral:rRNA from 1 species